ensembl:rRNA 5S_rRNA 5S ribosomal RNA
GCUUACGGCCACACCGCCUGGUUCAUGCCCGAUCUCGUUUGAUCUCGGAAGCUAAGAUAGGUUGGGCCUGGUUAGUACUUGGAUGGGAGACCGCCUGGGAAUACCAGGUGCUGUAAGGG